rnacentral:sRNA from 1 species
CGGUCUCUGGGAGAGCGUGUGCACCAGCUUGAAGACAGUGAGUACUGGGGGUCCGGGAGCAGGGCCACCCAGAACCAAGGAAAGGGGUUGGUGAGUGUGGGCAGAAGAACCAGAACAAAGAGGCCAGAGGCCCCAGGCCCAGCAGAGCAGCCCCGGGCACCUUGCCUCCCCUGCUGGGGUUCUCAUUCCAAAUUGAGGGGGCAAACAGUGGAAAUGAGGUGCUGCCUCGAGGGCUCAGUUGGUCCUUCUGGGCCAGUCCUCACUGGAGGCCAGCUCCACGCAGCCCUCUCCAGACUAUGCACUUCUCUCCCCCAGCUGCCUCCAUCUUCUCCCUGAAGGAGAUCCAGCUCCAGAAGGACCCAGGCUACCGAGGCUUGGCCUUCCAGCAGCCAGGACGAGGGAAGAACAGGCGGCAGAGCAUCUUCUGAGCCACGCCCACCUUGCUGUGGCCAAGGGACAAGAGAUCACAUGGAGCACAAAUUCGGGUAGGAUGGAGCCUGUGUGGCCCUCGGAGGACUGAAGAACGAGGGCUGACAGCCAGCCUGGAAGACCGCUUGGCAGCCCUUCUGGCCACGGCUGUUUCUUCUUUGUGCUUCCCGUGUGCCUCCCCAGUAGCCCUCACCUGCAUACCAACCCCUCCAUUACCCACGUUGGGGCUGGCAUGAGCUGCUUCCCUGAGAGGACAUGAGAGGGGGGGCGGUCCUCGUACCCUCUCCC